rnacentral:pre_miRNA from 1 species
CUCAUACUCUCCACGUUCGAAAAAACUUGUCCGAAAUUUGUCCUUCGAAUGGAUGUUUCUAGUACCAAAUUAGUGCUAGAUACAUCCAUUUUAGGGACAAACUUUUCUGAACGGAGGGAGUAUAUC